UACGGAGGAUGCAAGCGUUAUCCGGAAUUAUUGGGCGUAAAGCGUCCGUAGGUGGUUUUUCAAGUCUGUUGUCAAAUCGUGCAGCUUAACUGCAUACGGGCAAUGGAAACUGUGGAACUAGAGUGCGAUAGGGGUUACAGGAAUUCCCAGUGUAGCGGUGAAAUGCGUAGAUAUUGGGAAGAACACCAGCGGCGAAAGCGUGUGACUGGGUCUGCACUGACACUGAGGGACGAAAGCUAGGGGAGCGAAAGGG
rnacentral:rRNA from 1 species